rnacentral:rRNA from 1 species
UACGGAGGGUGCGAGCGUUGUUCGGAUUUAUUGGGCGUAAAGGGCGUGUAGGCGGCUCAUCAAGUCUGGUGUGAAAUCGCAAGGCUCAACCUUGCAUAUGCGCUGGAAACUGGUGGGCUUGAGUUCUUGAGGGGAAGCUGGAAUUCCAGGUGUAGGGGUGAAAUCUGUAGAUAUCUGGAAGAACACCGGUGGCGAAGGCGAGCUUCUAUCAGAGGACUGACGCUGAGGCGCGAAAGCUAGGGGAGCAAACAGG